GUGUUUGCUUCAGCAGCAUAUAUAAUAAAAUUGGAAUGACACAGAGAAGUAUUGCAUGGCCCCUACACAAGGAUGGCAUGCAUAUUUGAGAGGCACUCCAUAUUAAA
ensembl:snRNA U6 U6 spliceosomal RNA